AGUGAACGCUGGCGGUAGGCCUAACACAUGCCAGUCGAACGGCAGCACAGUAAGAGCUUGCCCUUACGGGUGGCGAGUGGCGGACGGGUGAGGAAUACAUCGGAAUCUACUUUUUCGUGGGGGAUAACGUAGGGAAACUUACGCUAAUACCGCAUACGACCUACGGGUGAAAGCAGGGGAUCUUCGGAUCUUGCGCGAUUGAAUGAGCCGAUGUCGGAUUAGCUAGUUGGCGGGGUAAAGGCCCACCAAGGCGACGAUCCGUAGCUGGUCUGAGAGGAUGAUCAGCCACACUAGAACUGAGACACGGUCCGGACUCCUGCGGGAGGCAGCAGUGGGGAAUAUUGGACAAUGGGCGCAAGCCUGAUCCAGCCAUACCGCGUGGGUGAAGAAGGCCUUCGGGUUGUAAAGCCCUUUUGUUGGGGAAGAAAAGCAGCAGGUUAAUACCCCGCUGUUCUGACGGUACCCAAAGAAUAAGCACCGGCUAACUUCGUG
rnacentral:rRNA from 1 species